UUGUCAUUGCAGCUGCAAAAUUAGGAACUUUAUACAAUACUAUAGUAGCUAGGAAUAACAUUUCGUUUGCAUUAAUUCUAUGCAUAGGAAAAAGGCGGUUAUUUUGGAAGAUGAAAACUUGUGGUGUUACACAAAAAUAUGGAUAAAAACAAUAUCAAGGCAUCUAGACUACUGAUAGACGUUAUCUCGCAGAAAACUGAAAAGAGCAGCAAAGAAAGGACAGAACGUAAAAAUCAGCAACUCUGAUGAGAUGGUAAAAAGCAGAUGAACGGGAGAUAAUAAAAUGCAGAUGGACGGCUUCUUUGAUCGUGAAGAGUUUGCUUUUAGUUAUAGAACGAGGGCAUUCCAAGGAAAUUACUUAUAUGAGUCUUUGAAGCAGUAUGCCAUUCAUUGCCUCAGUAUAGAAAUUCAACAUUUAAUGAUUAUAGGAAUAAAAAAAGGUGUAGCUCCAGACAGACACUACUGAAAAGGAAGGCAAAGAUGUUUUCAGACUGACAUAAAGCCCUAGUUUCUAAAACUAGAAAUAUAUUCCUAACAGCAAGCACGAAUAUUUCCAGAAUUAUUACCCUUUACUUGUUUACCUGACAUUACCUGUUUUAUUUGCAGGGAUAUUUAUGAAAUGAUCUAUGCAGUUUUCAAUGUUAUGAUGUGGUGGCAUAGAUUUGUUCACAAAUUUUAAUCUUGUUGUAUGUUCUUGAUUAAUCUAGUCAGCUUUUGUUUGUAAAAAAUAAAAGAAAAAUAAAUAAAAUUUAUCAAGAUAUGUUAUUAUUAUUAUUAUUUUCAUAUUUUUCUCCGGAAUUGACACCAUCAUUGGAACCUGCAUUUAUUCAAAAUCCAUUAGAUGAAUAUAAGCAGGCAAGCCUGAUUUGUUAAUGAUUCAUUAAUACAUUGAAUUUCGGUUUAUGGAAGAAGAAAA